rnacentral:lncRNA from 1 species
AUGGAUGAGAGUUCUUCCAGAACCAGUGAAUUCCUACAGGAAGAUUUCAGAAUAAAACAACCAAAUGCUGUUUCCAGCCCUGUUCUAGGCUUGGAGGGUGUUGGGAGACCCUCUCUUGUCUUACAGCUGGCAGCUGAGGCAUUCCCCAGGAUGUAGAAGACCCAUGUUGAGUUUACUCACUUCAUUUGGAUGACUUAGUGCCUUUCCCGUCAUGGAAAUUCUCUGGGUGUAGAAUGGAGGUCAAGAUAUAGAAAUAUCUAUAAACUGAAUCUUUCUUGCAAAAGAAUCAGUGGAAAAAGAGAAUAUUUAAAUUAUGAUCCAGUUUGUUGCAUGAAAACGCGCCCAAGUCACUGGCUAACUUUCCUGUUCUUUUUGCUUUCAUCAAUGAAUAGUUAAUAAAUUCUUAAUGUACUGCA